AUUGAACGCUGGCGGCAGGCCUAACACAUGCAAGUCGAGCGAGCGGCGGACGGGUGAGUAAUGUCUGGGAAACUGCCUGAUGGAGGGGGAUAACUACUGGAAACGGUAGCUAAUACCGCAUACCAUCGGAUGUGCCCAGAUGGGAUUAGCUAGUAGGUGGGGUAAUGGCUCACCUAGGCGACGAUCCCUAGCUGGUCUGAGAGGAUGACCAGCCACACUGGGACUGAGACACGGUCCAGACUCCUACGGGAGGCAGCAGUGGGGAAUAUUGCACAAUGGGCGCAAGCCUGAUGCAGCCAUGCCGCGUGUGUGAAGAAGGCCUUCGGGUUGUAAAGCACUUUCAGCGAGGAGGCGUGACACGGAGAAGAAGCACCGGCUAACUCCGUGCCAGCAGCCGCGGUAAUAC
rnacentral:rRNA from 1 species